GGAGCAUGUGGCUUAAUUUGACUCAACGCGGGAAAUCUUACCGGGUCCGGACACACUGAGGAUUGACAGGCAAUAUCUCAUGUUAACGGUAAGUUUACUUACCGCUUAACAUCGAGUGUUAAAUAUGCUAGUCCUUUCAUGAUUAUGUGAUAGGUGGUGCAUGGCCGUUCUUAGUUCGUGGAGUGAUCUGUCUGCUUAAUUGCGUUUCACUAAGGGCCCAUAAAUUCAAGGUAUGUUAGCUCUCGUCGCUCUAUGGACCCCUUAACUCCAAUAUUCUUAUUGUGUUAAGCGCGUGUCUUUAUUUUAAGAGUUUUAAGACACUGCGCAUGCUGUUGGGCUCUGAAAGCAACGAACGUGACCGCAACGUCUUGUUGCCUUAAACUAGCGUAUAUUGCAAUUUAUUGCAAUAUCGCUUACAGAGGCUAUUUAAAACUAGACGGACCGCUGUUCUUUCUUAAACCAGAGGAAGGUUGCGGCAAUAACAGGU
rnacentral:rRNA from 1 species